UUUGUGUGAAAUAUGAACAGCUAUGCUAAUCUUUCUCCUUUUGUUUUCCUGUUUCUCCAGCCUCGCGUGUGGAGACUUCAGAAGAUGCCAGACCUCACAAAGAUUUCAGAUGAUGGAAACUAUAGAUGAACAUGCAAAGCUGCUAAAUAAUCCUUAUAUUGUAAUCAUUGCCCUAAAAGGGAGGAACUUGUCAGCAAAUCUACUUCACAGCACAUCAGUGAAAGCAGUUAACAGUUACAGACAUGUGUUGGAUCAGGGUCAGAUCUGAAUUCUGCAGGUUUCCUGGGAUGACCGUUGAAGAGAUCAGCACAUCAGAUGUUGGCCUGGACAGCUGUACCUACAGUACACCACACUGACUUCUUUGCAUGGAUAGCUGACUACUACUACUACUAUUAUGUUCUGUGAAGGUAUUAUUAUAGGAAACCUGAGCACCUGUGACAGUGGAAAUGUUGUAAUGAAUAGUCACACAUUCAUAUUUGUAAAUUGAAAGUCACAGAUAAUUUUUUUUAGUACUAACAAUGUUUCUUUUUAACUAAUUCUCUCCAGCAAACACAACACAACAAUUACACCAUUUCAUAUUCUGAGGUGCACAAACCCUAUUCUACAAACAAGAGAACAACA